GCCCGAGUGGCGGAACUGGUAGACGCGCUAGAUUCAGGUUCUAGUGUGCUUCGGCAUGUGGAGGUUCAAAUCCUCUCUCGGGCACCA
rnacentral:tRNA from 1 species